rnacentral:tRNA from 1 species
GGAGCGUGAGCAUCUGCCUUACAAGCAGAGGGUCACAGGUUCGAAUCCUGUAGCCUCCA